AUGUCGGCCUACUGCGGCAAGUACAAGGAUGAGCUCAUCAAGAACGCUGCCUACAUUGGCACCCCUGGCAAGGGUAUCCUCGCUGCUGAUGAGUCCACCGGCACCAUCGGCAAGCGCUUCGCCAGCAUCAAUGUUGAGAACGUUGAGGACAACCGCCGUGCCCUCCGUGAGCUCCUCUUCUGCACCCCUGGUGCCCUCCAGUACCUCAGCGGUGUGAUCCUCUUCGAGGAGACCCUGUACCAGAGCACCAAGGGUGGCAAGCCCUUCGUCGACAUCCUCAAGGCGGGCAAUGUCCUCCCCGGAAUCAAGGUGGACAAGGGUACCAUCGAGCUUGCUGGAACCAACGGUGAGACCACCACCCAGGGCUUUGAUGACCUUGGCAAGCGCUGCGCCAAGUACUAUGAGGCUGGUGCCCGCUUCGCCAAGUGGCGUGCAGUCCUUAAGAUCGGCGCCACCGAGCCAUCACAGCUCUCCAUCGACCAGAACGCUCAGGGUCUGGCUCGCUAUGCCAUCAUCUGCCAGGAGAAUGGGCUGGUGCCCAUUGUUGAGCCUGAGAUCCUUGUUGAUGGACCUCAUGACAUUGACCGCUGUGCUUACGUGACUGAGAUCGUCCUUGCUGCCUGCUACAAGGCCCUCAACGACCAGCAUGUCCUCCUUGAGGGCACCCUCCUGAAGCCCAACAUGGUCACCCCUGGAUCCGACGCCAAGAAGGUGGCCCCUGAGGUGAUUGCUGAGUACACCGUCCGCACCCUCCAGAGGACCGUCCCUGCUGCCGUCCCCGCCAUUGUCUUCCUCUCCGGUGGACAGAGUGAGGAGGAGGCGACCCUGAACCUGAACGCCAUGAACAAGCUCCAGACCAAGAAGCCCUGGAACCUGUCCUUCUCCUUCGGGCGUGCCCUCCAGCAGAGCACCCUCAAGGCCUGGUCCGGCAAGACGGAGAACGAGGAGAAGGCCAGGACGGCGUUCCUGGUGAGGUGCAAGGCCAACUCCGAGGCCACCCUUGGCACCUACAAGGGCGACGCCACCCUUGGCGAGGGCGCCUCUGAGAGCCUCCACGUCAAGGACUACAAGUACUGA
rnacentral:rRNA from 1 species